GAUGAACGCUGGCGGCGUGCCUAAUACAUGCAAGUCGAGCGAACAGACGAGGAGCUUGCUCCUCUGACGUUAGCGGCGGACGGGUGAGUAACACGUGGAUAACCUACCUAUAAUACUGGGAUAACUUCGGGAAACCGGAGCUAAUACCGGAUAAUAUAUUGAACCGCAUGGUUCAAUAGUGAAAGACGGUUUUGCUGUCACUUAUAGAUGGAUCCGCGCCGCAUUAGCUAGUUGGUAAGGUAGCGGCUUACCAAGGCGACGAUGCGUAGCCGACCUGAGAGGGUGAUCGGCCACACUGGAACUGAGACACGGUCCAGACUCCUACGGGAGGCAGCAGUAGGGAAUCUUCCGCAAUGGGCGAAAGCCUGACGGAGCAACGCCGCGUGAGUGAUGAAGGUCUUCGGAUCGUAAAACUCUGUUAUUAGGGAAGAACAAAUGUGUAAGUAACUAUGCACGUCUUGACGGUACCUAAUCAGAAAGCCACGGCUAACUACGUG
rnacentral:rRNA from 1 species